rnacentral:rRNA from 1 species
UACGUAGGGUGCAAGCGUUAAUCGGAAUUACUGGGCGUAAAGCGUGCGCAGGCGGUUUUGUAAGUCUGUCGUGAAAUCCCCGGGCUCAACCUGGGAAUUGCGAUGGAGACUGCAAGGCUAGAAUCUGGCAGAGGGGGGGUAGAAUUCCACGUGUAGCAGUGAAAUGCGUAGAGAUGUGGAGGAACACCGAUGGCGAAGGCAGCCCCCUGGGUCAAGAUUGACACUCAUGCACGAAAGCGUGGGGAGCAAACAGGG